rnacentral:rRNA from 1 species
UACGUAGGGGGCAAGCGUUGUCCGGAUUUAUUGGGCGUAAAGAGCGUGUAGGCGGCCAGGUAGGUCCGUUGUGAAAACUCGAGGCUCAACCUCGAGACGUCGAUGGAAACCAUCUGGCUAGAGUCCGGAAGAGGAGAGUGGAAUUCCUGGUGUAGCGGUGAAAUGCGCAGAUAUCAGGAAGAACACCCGUGGCGAAGGCGGCUCUCUGGGACGGUACUGACGCUGAGACGCGAAAGCAUGGGGAGCGAACAGG